rnacentral:rRNA from 1 species
UACAGAGGGGGCAAGCGUUGUUCGGAAUUACUGGGCGUAAAGGGCUCGUAGGCGGCCAACUAAGUCGGACGUGAAAUCCCUCAGCUUAACUGGGGAACUGCGUCCGAUACUGGAUGGCUUGGAUUUGGGAGAGGGAUGCGGAAUUCCAGGUGUAGCGGUGAAAUGCGUAGAUAUCUGGAGGAACACCGGUGGCGAAGGCGGCAUCCUGGACCAAUAUUGACGCUGAGGAGCGAAAAGCCAGGGGAGCAAAGCGGG